rnacentral:lncRNA from 1 species
UGCACAUUUCGACAAUUUUUCUCUAUUCGGUAAACUCAAUCUAGACCCUCGUGAAAUUGACAAACAAAACUUUGACAGACUAUUUAAGUAGUUUUGGCAUUUUCAGAAUAAAUUUGUUGAGGACAAAGCGUUGAUAUAUAUAUAUAAAAAAAAAAAAGAAGAUGUGGAAUUAUUGCCAAUGAGACAACUCUCCACAAGAGACCAGAAUGACACAGAAACUAGUCAUUAUUUAAUCUAUUGAAACUUUUGCAGAUUCAGAACGAUUUUCAAGUUGACACACUGUAUUGGUAUCUGUCUACUAAUUUCAUUUCCGCCGAUUGUAUUUAACCGC